rnacentral:misc_RNA from 1 species
AACGCACGAGACCUGCGGACCUGCGGAAGGAUCAUUACCGAGUUUACAACUCCCAAACCCCUGUGAACUUAUACCUUUACUGUUGCUUCGGCGGGUCAUUGCCCCGGGGAAACAGGUGCCGCCAGGUCCCUGCCCCCCCGGAAACAGGCGCCCGCCGGGGGACUCAAACUCUUCUGUAUUUUUUGUUUACUGUAUACUGUCUGAGUAAAAAUUCAUAAUGAAUCAAAACUUUCAACAACG